GACGAACGCUGGCGGCAUGCCUAACACAUGCAAGUCGAGCGCCCGUAGCAAUACGGGAGCGGCGCACGGGUGAGUAACGCGUGGGAACCUGCCCAGAGGUCUGGGACAACCGCGGGAAACUGCGGCUGAUACCGGAUGAUUCCUGAGGGACAAAGAUUUAUCGCCUUUGGAGGGGCCCGCGUCGGAUUAGGUAGUUGGUGGGGUAACGGCUCACCAAGCCUAUGAUCCGUAACUGGUCUGAGAGGAUGACCAGUCACACUGGGACUGAGACACGGGCCCAGACUCCUACGGGAGGCAGCAGUGGGGAGUAUUGGACAAUGGGGGCAACCCUGAUCCAGCAAUGCCGCGUGGGUGAUGAAGGCCUUGGGUUGUAAAGCCCUUUCGGCGGGACGAUGAUGAC
rnacentral:rRNA from 1 species